rnacentral:rRNA from 1 species
UCCUACGGGGGGCAGCAGUGGGGAAUAUUGCACAAUGGGCGAAAGCCUGAUGCAGCGACGCCGCGUGAGGGACGAAGGCCUUCGGGUUGUAAACCUCUUUCAGCAGGGAAGAAGCGAAAGUGACGGUACCUGCAGAAGAAGCGCCGGCUAACUACGUGCCAGCAGCCGCGGUAAUACGUAGGGCGCAAGCGUUAUCCGGAAUUAUUGGGCGUAAAGAGCUCGUAGGCGGUUUGUCGCGUCUGCUGUGAAAGCCCGGGGCUCAACCCCGGGUCUGCAGUGGGUACGGGCAGACUAGAGUGCAGUAGGGGAGACUGGAAUUCCUGGUGUAGCGGUGAAAUGCGCAGAUAUCAGGAGGAACACCGAUGGCGAAGGCAGGUCUCUGGGCUGUAACUGACGCUGAGGAGCGAAAGCAUGGGGAGCGAACAGGAUUAGAUACCCUGGUAGA